rnacentral:tRNA from 1 species
UGGAUCACCUCCUAACAGGGAGACAAAAUCAGACCAUGAUGUCUAAGCGUUUUAUUCUUAGGCCAUGAUCCUGUCACCUUAGGUCGAUCGGUACCUCAGAUUAAUUAAGAAUCUAGAAGUAUAAAAUUGCUUUUUAGAUUGAUAUUUAAUUUUAGUUCCUAAACUUUGUCUAGGUCACACCCCUCAAGGGUUACUCCUGGGCCAUUAGCUCAGGUGGUUAGAGCGCACCCCUGAUAAGGGUGAGGUCCCUGGUUCAAGUCCAGGAUGGCCCAUUCGGUGUUGGGGGUUUAGCUCAGUUGGUAGAGCGCCUGCUUUGCAAGCAGGAUGUCAGCGGUUCGAGUCCGCUAACCUCCACUGACCGACCUCCUUCAACUAUUUAUUGUUGAGGACUUUUUUGAGAUGUGAUCUAGGCCUUAAUGUCCGCUGACAGAACCUAGCUUCCUAUCAUUCCUAAACUAGAUAAAAAAUUUAGUUAAGGUUGAUAGCAUGCUGGGCUCCCUUUAAAUUCUAUUUUGAUUUAAAGAAGUUCAGUAGAACCUUGACAACUGCAUAGGUGAGUUUGGAAAGAAUAAAGCAUCUCAUGGAUGCAUUUUCUUUUGCCUCUAGUUUAUCUAUCUGCGAAAGUGGUUAGUUAAAUUAGAUUAAAAAGAGAAUGUUUGAUUCUUGAGCAAGAGCUGAGACUCUACAGUGAUCUUUUAAAUUCUAAAAGAAUUUAAAAGUUUGAUUGGUUAUUCAGUUUUUUAAACUUGAGUAUUCAGUAAUUACUCAAUAUUCAAAUUAGUUUUAAUAACUGAAUCGCUGAGAAUUGUGUUUCAACCACUUAAAUCACUGUUGAAGUUAAUGGUCAAGCUACAAAGGGCUCACGGUGGAUACCUUGGCACACAGAGGCGAUGAAGG